rnacentral:lncRNA from 1 species
GCAGUCCUCUGUCAGCCGACACCUGGCACAUAACUGUGGGGAGAGUGUCUACACCUGUCACCUUGGUGGCCACAGCUGCAAGGUGACUUCGUGGGGAUCUGUGAGCAUCUGAGGCCCCAGUAGGGGUGAGGAGGAGAACAGCAGCUCAUUUGUGCAGCAAGGACAUAUGGUGACUUCGAAGCCACUCAAUUUGGGCCUCCUUUCAAAUCUGCUGGGCCAGAUCAAGUUAGAGCUUCAGUGUAAGUCUCCCAAGGUCCCCUCCUGGGAGAAUGGCACCAGCCAAAAUUGGCCAGGAAGAAACCAUGGUCUCUAAGAGUUGAAUGGGACCCUGGUUGGCCUUUCCCUCCCCCAGGACAGGGUGCGCAGCUGUCUAUUCAAACAUUGAGAUUUACACUUAACCAGCAAUGUGGAAUAUUCUGGAUCCUUGUUAGAUCAGAGCCACAACCUCAAACUCACUGCUGUUCAAUACUUAGCAAACAUUUGGUCGAAUUGAAGAAAUAUUUAGGAAGACUUACUUGGCUACAAAUUGGGGACUCCUAUGAACCCUUCCUCAGGUCCCGUAAUUGGUUCUAACAGCUCACAUAACUCAGGGAAGCACUUAAUUUGUGUCUGCUGGUUAUUAUACGGGAUACAAUAAAGGGCACAGAUGGAAGCCAGGUGAGGAGCAGGUACAAAGGGAAAGGUCCCACAGGCUCCCGAGCAGAGGAGUUUCUGUCCUUAUGAAGUUGGAGUGCACCACUCUCCCAGAAUGGAUACUCACCCACCCAGAAGCUCUCCAAAUGCCUUUUUUGUUUGUUUGUUUUUGACAGAGUCUCGCUCUGUCACCCAGGCUGGAGUGUAAUGGCAUGAUCUCAGCUCACUGCAACCUCCAUCCCACGAGUUCAAGUGAUUCUCGUGCCUCAACCUCCCAAGUAGCUGGGAUUAUAGAUGAAGGCUACCAAGCUCAGCUAAUUUUUGUAUUUUUAGUAGAGACAGGGUUUUGCCACGUUGGCCAAGCUAGUCUCAAACUCCUGACCUCAAGUGAUUCUCCCACCUCAGCCUUUCAAAAUGCUGGGAUUACAGGCAUAAG